rnacentral:sRNA from 1 species
GUUGUAUUGGCCAUUGAUGCCUCUCUUCGAAAACUGACAUGGACUCCGCCUCGCCGUGCCGGGUCACUGCGACCUGUCAUACAAGCAAUUCGGGAGUAUUAUCGGAAAGCCUCGAACGAGGGCGUUCCAAACUGAGGGCGGCGUAUAAAGGGAAACCGCCCGCACGUCAACGCGCAAUUUGAGAAAACCGAGUCCUGUCCAUGGCUCAUCUGUGUUUGAAUUCGGCUUUGCGCUUGGCGACGAAGGCGGCCAUGCCCUCUUUCUGGUCCUCCGUUGCGAAAAGCGACUGGAAGAGCCGCCGCUCGAAGCGCAGGCCCUCGGCGAGCGUCAGUUCCAGAGAGCGGUUGACGGCCUCCUUGGCCAUCAUCGCCGCCGGCAGCGAGAAUGACGCGAUCUUCUCCGCGGCGCCGAGCGCCUCCUCCAGGAGCCUGUCCGGAGCCACCACGCGCGAAACCAG